GCAUCAGCGCCGGGCCUGCCGUUCCCGCUGCUGGAACCGUUCACGACCCCCGCCCCUGCCCCCACCGGACCGUUCCUGCCCUACUUGAACCCUGCGCCCUUUGGCCUAAGCCCCCCGCGCCUGCGCCCCUUCCUGGCCGCUGCACCCGGGCCGCCGGCUUCCAGCGCCGCCGUCUGGAAAAAGAGCCAAGGUGAGUGUGGGGUCGGGGGCCUCCAGGAGGGCGGGCUGGGCUCGCCCUGACUCUGAACUUGACCCGCCCCUUUACCGCAGGUGCUGGCAGCAGCCCCCGAAGACCCCAGGGCGGCUCCGACGCGCCCUCAGGGCACGCGGCCCCGAGCCGCAUCGUGUGGGAGCACACACGCGGCCGC
rnacentral:sRNA from 1 species